GACGAACCGAGCGAACGUUAUUCGGAAUAACUGGGCUUAAAGAGCUCGUAGGCGGUUUGUCGCGUCUGCUGUGAAAACUCGGGGCUUAACCCCGGGCCUGCAGUGGGUACGGGCAGACUAGAGUGCGGUAGGGGAGACUGGAAUUCCUGGUGUAGCGGUGAAAUGCGCAGAUAUCAGGAGGAACACCGGUGGCGAAGGCGGGUCUCUGGGCCGUAACUGACGCUGAGGAGCGAAAGCGUGGGGAGCGAACAGG
rnacentral:rRNA from 1 species